rnacentral:tRNA from 1 species
GGUCCCAUAGUUUCAAUUGGUUAAAACAUCCGCCUGUCACGCGGAAGUUACGAGUUCAAAUCUCGUUGGGACCG